CCAUCUCUACAAAACAGACAGCAGUGAAAGAACAAAGAUGGAAUCGGCUGUGAUUCUUCUCAUUCUGUUGAGUAUUGCACCAGGCACCUUUUCCGCUCUCCAGCUGACGCAAUCUGGUCCAGCAAUGGUGAAACCAGGAGGGUCCUUCAAACUGACCUGCAUCAUCUCUGGGGUCCAAGUCAGCGAUUACUACUGGAGCUGGAUCCGACAACUCCCAGGCAAAAGUCUGGAGUGGCUGGGUUUCAUCCGGAAUACUGCAAAUGGAGGAACCACGCAAUACAAUCCAGCAUUCAGCAACCGGAUCAGCAUCACCAAGGAUACGUCCAGGAAUGAGGUCUAUCUUCAAAUGAGCUCCCUGACAACUGCAGACACCACAACAUAUUAUUGUGGGAAACACACAGAGAAGUGA